ACUAUACUAUCUAUAGUACCGAGCUCCGGUACUAUAGUGUUGGUUUUCGAUCUUAGGGCGUUCAAAUCAACGAUCCACACCGUUAAAACUGAUCUAGGGUAUUUAAAGUUUCUAGAAAUAAAAUUUUAUACUUUUUCGACAUAGUUUACUUCAUGAUCAAACUAUUUCAAAAUUGUCAAUUUUCAAUGGCUAUUAUGACGAGUUUGGAGUUUAACGGUGUAGAAGAAUCUAAAUUUCUAUAUAUAUAUAUAUAUAUAUAUAUAUAUAUAUAAUAAAUCUUUAUUAAUUAUUCGAGUUUUAGCCCAAUUGGCCUUGAUAUAAAAUCCAAUUAUAAAAUAGCCUAUUUAAUUAUAAGUAAAUUUUCAAAUAUUAAAUCAAAAUAUAAUAAGUAAUAUCUCAUAAUUUAAAUUGUUGCUUGUGAACUAACUCGUAUUUUUUGUUAAUAAAUGAGCCAAAUACGAACUGAAUUUUUAGAUUCGAUACUUUAACUAGCCAACUCGUGUUCGGCUCGUUGACACCUCUAGUGAUACAUAGGAUUAUAAAAGUUGAGAAGGGUAAAUUACAGUAGUAAUUACUGAAAUUUUAUUGAAAUUGUUUUAAUUGAGAUUCUUAAUGAUAAUUUCUAGUUUAAUCCAUUGCUCAAAUUUAAAUUAAUUUUUCUGAAAAAAAUAUGGAUAUGGUGAGUAAUUUUUAGUGAUUAAGAAAUGGUAAAGGGAUAUAUAAGUGCUUCAACUGCUAUAUUAUUUCAAAACUAAUGGCAAAAUAAAAUUAUAUUCAAUUUUUUAAAGUUUCAUAAAUUUUAGUUGAAAAAGAUAUAUAGAGUAUUUGACAAUCUCGUUUUUAAAAUCCGAUUCUUAUUUUUAGAAUCAAUUUUCUAAUUUUUUUAAGACCCAAAAUUAGAAAUAGCUAAAACCUGCUUCUUGAAAUUUUAUUCUAAUUUUACACUCAUAUUUUUAAUUUUUCUUUCAUUUUUAGAUUCAAAUUUUAAAGUUUAAAUUCAAAUUUUUAAUUUUAGAUUUGAAUUUUUAAAUUUUAAUUUUAAUUUUAAUUUUUAAACUUUAAAUUUAAAUUUUAAAAUUUUAAAUUUAGAUAUUAAAAUUUAAAAUUCAAAUUUAGCCAAAUACUCUGCAGUUUUUAAUCAAAAUUAUUUCUUCAAACUCAAAUUAAUUUUUCAGAAUUUA
rnacentral:lncRNA from 1 species